rnacentral:rRNA from 1 species
UGGGGAAUUUUGGACAAUGGGCGAAAGCCUGAUCCAGCAAUGCCGCGUGUGUGAAGAAGGCCUUCGGGUUGUAAAGCACUUUUGUCCGGAAAGAAAUCCUUGGCUCUAAUACAGUCGGGGGAUGACGGUACCGGAAGAAUAAGCACCGGCUAACUACGUGCCAGCAGCCGCGGUAAUACGUAGGGUGCAAGCGUUAAUCGGAAUUACUGGGCGUAAAGCGUGCGCAGGCGGUUUGCUAAGACCGAUGUGAAAUCCCCGGGCUCAACCUGGGAACUGCAUUGGUGACUGGCAGGCUAGAGUAUGGCAGAGGGGGGUAGAAUUCCACGUGUAGCAGUGAAAUGCGUAGAGAUGUGGAGGAAUACCGAUGGCGAAGGCAGCCCCCUGGGCCAAUACUGACGCUCAUGCACGAAAGCGUGGGGGAGCAAAACAGGAUUAGAUACCCUGGUAGUCCACGCCCUAAACGAUGUCAACUAGUUGUUGGGGAUUCAUUUCCUUAGUAACGUAGCUAACGCGUGAAGUUGACCGCCUGGGGAGUAC